CUGCUGUGACCAGGCUACCAGCUCUCAAACGUGCUUGGGCUUACACAGGCGUUCACCUCGUUUUGCUGGGCUGCCAGGGCACCUCUGAGGCUGAGGCAUUUGUGCUCUGGCUGUUGCCCAGCAGCCCUGUGCCUGUGGAGAGGGGUCAGGCCUGCUCUGGACAGAGGCCAUGGCCUGCAGGUGGCAUUGGAGGUGGCACUGCGCCUUGUCACACCUGCCACCUUGCUGUCUUCUCCUUGGCUUCCUCAGCACUGGGGAGCACGGCACAUCAAGCUGGGCCCUCUGGACCCAGGCUGUGGAAGGGUGUUUAGUUCCCCCCAGCUCAAUGCCUUCCAGCGCCAGGCAUCGGCAGCAGUACUGGAGAUUAGGCUGAGUUGGGCUCCAAAGCCUGCUGCUGUUUCAGAAGGCCACUGCGAUCUUGCUGAGUCCACUUUCUGAAGACAAUAACAUUUCUGAAUAGUCCCUGUGAACUUGUUCCUGCCUGCAAAAUCUGGAUCACUAGUGUUUCAGAUGAGGCUGGCUUGGCUGCAUUUUGUGUGGUGAUUUAAAGUGCUUCAUUGCCACUGAGUCAUCGCUGUGCUUAGAUGAAUCGAUUAUGACUGCGUCGGGGUCUUCCUGGGGAUUCACUGAAGCCCAAGCGAUGAGUGCCGUGCCGUCCCAUCAGUCGCAACUCCAGGAAAGUCCUUGAAAACUAAUAGGAAACCAGAAUUCCGGCCAGGAAAAAACACUUCAGCUUCAUCCUCCUCGACAGGUAGUAAACUGCUGCAUUGGAAAAGAUCUCACAGACUCUCCCUGAGGAUGCAUUUGCACUGGUUUGAUAGAUAUUUUAGACUUACAUAAACAAAAGAGAGAAAUUUGACAUCUAUUUCAAAAUGCAGUCAUGACAACAAGCCUAUUUUUUAGACAUUGCAAAGACAGCAAGAUUCUACAUUCUGCUUUUAGAGCCAUCUCACUCGUUCAGAAGAAGUCUCUCCUGUUGAUCUUCUAAGUGAAUGUUUUACUGCCAGAAGGAAUUCCUGAAAGUGAAAAAGGAAAAGAAAACCAGGAAUUACCAAUAUUCUGUUUUAUACAAAUCUAAUUACAUUUGCUGCUGCUUGAACACAUUCAUGGGUGAAUUUCAGGCAAGCCAAGAACACAAGGACAAAGUGGAAGAAUAAGCAAGUGGAAAAGAGAGGCAAAAUAAGUUUUAUAGCAACAAUACCAGCUUUGCCUUCCAGUAAUAUCUAGGGCUCAAGCAAGCUCAAUUGAAGCAGCAACUAUAUGUAUAUAUACAACAGUAUUUUUAAUCUGAAUGAACCUGGGAGAGAACUAAGGAAAGAAAACAAAGUAUUUGUUCAUGGUUGGAGAAACUUUAUUUGGCUGACAAUAAAGACUUGUGACUGGACAUCAUUUGCUCUGAACCAGUACCUGACCACAGGAGACUUCUUAGGAUAACCACUGCCUUCAGAAGGAGAAAGAUGGUGUGGCAUGGGUGAAGAAGAUGCAGCCCCUCAUACCUAAAGUUUACCAGCAGAGGACACAACACAGAAUGUGGGGAGAGCGGCUGUGUUGCUGUGCAUCCUCGCACUCGCAUUGCAGCUUUGUCCUGGCCUUUUAAGAUGUUGGCUUGGAUUUGACAGAGGUGCACCUGGCAGUCUGCAGCCAAUGCAGCCAAAAGCCCCUUAUGUUUCUGUGAGGCUCUAUUUCCUGUUAGUAAAAUUAAAGUAUUUAAAAAUAAGGAGUCAUCCAGGUAUGCUUGUUAAAAAAACUGUACAAACCCUGGGAUUAUUUGAAUAGUUUUUUCCUAAAAGUUCAGUAAUUACUUGGAAAAUUAAUACAGUAUCUUUUAAGGGAAAUAUUGUCUGUUUGAAAGUCAAUGUGUAUUGCCUUCAGGAAGUUCUUCUGAUGUCUUUGAGUGGACUCUACAAAGUAAAUACCUUCCUGUACACUGAUUAGUAAACUAUUAAUAUAAUAGAUAUAGAAGGACAGAGUCAACAUUUUUGGUUCUUAUUGUUCAAUGUUUUUUAAAGCCUUUGCUGUGAAUAAAAAGAGACUUUAAUAUGCUCCUGCAUAGAUUUAUAUUCACCGUAUUGCUAAGAUCUCCUGGAAAUGGAAGCAAUUUUCAUUUAAAUAAUUUAUUAUCAGACUCACAGUGCACUCUGCAUCUUAAAUGCAAACUGACUCCAAGCAUUCAAGACUAACUCAGGAUGCAAGAAAAGGCUCCCUUCAGGUAUUGGAAGUUGAAAUAAGAUCUGCCCAGAGCCUUCUUCAGGCUGAAAAAUCUCAGCUCUCUCAGCCAUCUUCACAGGAGAGGUGUUCCAGAGCCCUGAUCAUCACCAUGGCCUCCUCUGGACUUGUUCCAACAGUUCUGUGUCCUUAUGUUGAGGACCCCAGAGCUGGAUGCAGUGCUGCAGGUGGGGUCUCACCAGAGCAGAUUAGAGGGGCAGAAUCACUUCCCUUGACCUGCUGUUCAUGCUGCUUUGGUUGCAGCCCAGGAUAUGGUUGGCUUUUGGGGCCAACCCAAUCAUCUUACAGAGAAAUAAGGAAAAUGAGAUUCUGCAGUGGACCAGACUUCAGUGAUUUGCUUUUCAUGAGGUGUGUCUCUGCUCAGACCUUCUGAGCAAAGAUCAGCACUCAGAGUUUAAUGCUUGUUGGUCAACCUUCUGUAUUUUAAAAUGUUCCCAAAGUAUGGAGAAACAUAUCUGAAGAACAAUGGAGCUCAACAUUUCCUCUCCCUUGGAUUUUAAGAGAGGAUAAUGGAUGUUCUCUCUUAAAGCAUUUGUGCUAUUGAUUGUGUGAUAGGUUUUAUCACUUUUACAAAAAGUGGCACCUCACCUUGUUCUGUGUUCAUUACUUUAUUUACUUAUGAGAAAAAUAUUAUCUUCAGAAGGUCCCAGGCAGGGAUUUACCAUCCUGGAUCAAAUGAGUAAAACCUGAUAAUUCCAAAGUUGUUGGCAAGAAAAUAGCAGCCCCAUGACAGGUCAUGUUCCCACAGGUUUCUCUGAUAAUCACUAAUUGCUUCAGAAUCACAUAUUCGGAAUGGAAAAGAGAGCUGAUUCCAUCAGGUCACAUCAUUAAGAUGAAAAGGUGACACACAACAUCAGCUGCCUAGCAAUAUCAUAUUUCUUCUACUUAUCAGUGAUUUGUUUAUUCUCUUUUUAAAUAAUAGAAAUUAUGAAGUUUCUGCCAUUUUUGUAAGUCCAUAGUAGUUCCUCAUCUGAAUACAAUAAAUUCUCAAUAGUUCCUACAUACAUGAAUUUUCUUCUGAUUUUCAUACUCUCCUACUAAACUAAAUAAUUGCAUUUUUGUCCUUGUUAAGGCUCUUCAAUAUCUUUAAGCAUUUAUAAUGUGUCCAAUCAGCUGUAUAAUGGCAAGCUAUACAAAUGCUGGGGGAGGAUCUUCUAAAUGAAAAUAUGAUAGUUAGGCAUUGAUUUUCUGUAAAAGCAGGGCACUUAACAGCACAAUGCUCUCUCCUGGUCCAGUUCCAGGAAAGGAUUUAGGCACCUAAGACAACAGCUGAGUAGAUACAAAUUAUCUAAAUCAAUUCAGCCACUAUUUAACGUUUGUGGAGCCUAAAUUCAAUAAGGAGCUCCCUGUUCCAUCUUAAAAUCCCUAAGCACAUAAGCCUGUGCUUCUGUAGAUGCUAAGAGGAGAUGUUGUCUAUGUAGCCAUCUUAUUACUUAUUUUCCUUCUAAAUAUGGCUGGAACCCCAGAAGCAGACAUUCCUUCACUUUAAUUGACUCUGAGACUUAACCUAAGAAGUUUCUUUGCAGUGUGCCAAAAGCACAUCUACAGAAACAGGCUACGCUUUUCUGCAGUCUCUCCUUUUUUAAAUUACUGGAGAAAAUGACAAUGCUGUUCACCUUUUCUAUCUUAUUCUAGAGUUCACUCAGUUCACAAGUUAGGGUAUGAGUUCAGUUUCUUCAUCAGAAAGCAUUAAACACACAGACUCUGUCUCAAAGAAAAGUGCUUUCAACACUAUUUAUGCCUUCAGGUGCAUUUUUGAGAGCAAGAGGAGAAAAUCCUUGUACCUUUGGCUGCAGCUGUGCUACCCCCAUGGCAGGGAGUGCCAGGGUCUCUGGCCAUAGGGGCCUUGCCAUGCUGUAGCCUGCAGUGUUCCAGAUGAAGCAUCUGCAAAUCAUCCUGACCUGAUAAGUGCAGAAGUCAAGGGAUGCAAUAUUGGAUCUGGGAGUCCAUUAUUAGUUUCAGGUACUCAAAAUGUAUAUUUGAUACCCAUGUGGUCAGUCUCUGCACUCAUGUUAGUUUAUCUCCUUACCCAUUCUUAUUUACUUUUCCUCUGAAAAUAUCUCAGAUUUUAAGAAUUUAUCUGUAGGGCUGGGGGAAAAUUCAUAUCAGAAACAAUCUCAUUCUUCUCAAGUUCUUCUCUGCAUAUAUUUCUUUCCCUGAACAUUUCAAUUAUACAUUGGUUACUUCUUUUUGAGCCUUUGAUCAUGGUAUAGAUCUUUUUCUGGGACAUUUCUUGUUUUGUACAUUUACCUGGUAUUGAGUUUUUACAUUGCUUGAAAAAUUGAGCA